AUCAAUUCCCUUGCCAACUCUGAUAAUGAAUGAUUUGAUCCGACACACGGGUCUGAUUUCCUUGUUAGGUUGUCAGAGUUCUAAUUUCCGGCAGCUGUUGUCUGCAACUCUAUCUUUACACACUUGGGAUGCCACUAACAGGAGCAAAUAAUCCCUUCUGUGGAGAAAGAAUAUGCAAAUGCAAGGCCAAGAUUACGGGGGAAUGUGCUAAGCAAGAUCUCUCUCUUGCCAGUUUCUACGCCGUUAUUAGCUUCAUGCUCGAUGCUCGAAACCCUUGACCGGAUAUUUCCCUCCGAUAAUAUUUUCAGCUCAACUGUUGUAUCCGCUGGACUACUUCGAAUUUUCGGCAGAGAUGAUACAGAGCUUCCUUUAGCCGCUACGAGGAUACUUUCAAUUACUCUCCUCUUGCACUGAGAAACUACUCUCAUUCUUCAACGUCGAGAAAAUCGUGCUUACAGCCGCCGAAGAGGCAGAGCCUCUUUCGAUGAACAAGUAUGGAUUCAGAAAAAUGGCAUAUGAACAGCUAAGCAAGUACAUGAAGAUGUGUUCUCAGAUAGUAAGAUUCAAAGGAGCUCCGAUGCUGGAAAGAACGGUUCAUAAACACCAAAUCAUGACGGGGAAGUCCGAGAUUAAGCAAGAGACUUUCGGGUGAAAAUGUUUCGACGGAAAUCCAAAUGUUGAUCUUUCUAUUGAGGUGAAAUUUGAAAAGAAAGGAAGAAGAAAACUGUCAUUGAUUUUCUUAAAGGAAAAAAGGUAAAGGGUGAGUUGGUGGGUAGGUUUUUUUUUCUUAUGAGCUCUCUCCUCUCUCCCCUGCUGCAGUAACUUGAUGUAAAUUUUGUAGAUGCAAGAGGCCAUCAUUUUGAAAUUAUUUAUA